rnacentral:rRNA from 1 species
AUUGAACGCUGGCGGCAGGCCUAACACAUGCAAGUCGAACGAGUGGCGGACGGGUGAGUAAUGUCUGGGAAACGGCCUGAUGGAGGGGGUUAACUACUGGAAACGGUAGCUAAUACCGCAUACCAUCGGAUGUGCCCAGGUGGGAUUAGCUAGUAGGUGGGGUAAAGGCUCACCAAGGCGACGAUCCCUAGCUGGGCGGAGAGGAUGAACAGCCACACUGGAACUGAGACACGGUCCAGACUCCUACGGGAGGCAGCAGUGGGGAAUAUUGCACAAUGGGCGAAAGCCUGAUGCAGCCAUGCCGCGUGUAUGAAGAAGGCCUUCGGGUUGUAAAGUACUUUCAGCGAGGAGGCGUUACUCGCAGAAGAAGCACCGGCUAACUCCGUGCCAGCAGCCGCGGUAAUUC